UACGGGGGGGCAAGCGUUGUUCGGAAUUACUGGGCGUAAAGGGCUCGUAGGCGGCCAACUAAGUCGGAUGUGAAAUCCCCAGGCUCAACCUGGGAACUGCAUCCGAUACUGGAUGGCUUGAAUCCGGGAGAGGGAUGCAGAAUUCCAGGUGUAGCGGUGAAAUGCGCAGAUAUCAGGAAGAACACCCGUGGCGAAGGCGGUUCUCUGGGACGGUACUGACGCUGAGGCGCGAAAGCGUGGGGAGUCAAACAGG
rnacentral:rRNA from 1 species